AGAUUACAUAGAGGGAUUUCACUCAAGCUUGAGAAAAUUCUUGAAGGGACCAUCUGUGGAGGAGACAAUCAUAGGAUGAAGUGGGGAGGUGAACAAAAUUUACAUAAAUAAAUAGCAGCGUUGGACCAGAGGGCUCUGUAGAGAGACGCGUGGUGUCACGUCUGCACAGAUGCUCUGUUAGUCCUGCGUCUCCUCUGGCUGGCUUCUGUUGAGAGGGUUAAAUUUACGGAGCUGGAUAAAUAACCACAGCGAGAAACCAUGUAGUUGUGCCUUAGCAAUCACUUCGCCCACGUUUUAUGGAAUUCAGCUUCUCAACCCGCUCACAGAAAGCUGGACCCUGUCUGCGGGACCUGAUUGCAUAUAGGGGUGGGCCAUUUAAGGUCUCUGCCCAGGGUCUUCAUUAGCACAGUACCAAGAGCCUGCAGUCUUUCAGAAUUUAAGAAAUUAUACACUACAGAAUCACAGCACCGCAGGGGGCAACCUGUGGCCUUAUCUAAUUUCUAAUCUGGGACAUAGCAGCUGUCUUGCUAUUAAUAUCCCAAAGUGGUAAAAA
rnacentral:lncRNA from 1 species